rnacentral:rRNA from 1 species
GUUCGUAGGCGGUGUGGCAAGUUGGGAGUGAAAUCUCUGGGCUCAACCCAGAGGCUGCUUCCAAAACUGCCAUGCUUGAGUGUGGGAGAGGCGCGUGGAAUUGCAGGUGUAGCGGUGAAAUGCGUAGAUAUCUGCAGGAACACCCGUGGCGAAAGCGGCGCGCUGGACCACUACUGACGCUGAGGAACGAAAGCUAGGGAGCAAACA